GAGCAUUUCCUGAGCGCUAGAAAAGUUCGCCUUUCUAGGCCCAGAUCGCACAAGGGGCAAGCAAAGCGUCAAAACAGCGCCCCCUGUCGGCCGCGAAGGCGUGGCGGCCCGCGGACCGGCGGACCCCGGGGCAUACCAGCUGGCGGUGUGCACAGGCCCAGGGGCCCCACGACCGCGGGUGUCGGGACCGUGGGCUCCACUCAGGAACCCACCGAAUCCUUCGGCCUGGCCAGGCGGGGGGUCUUCUUCCCAGUCCGCGGAAGCCAGGUCCGGGAGACGGCGGGGCUCGCUGUGCCUCCGGACCUACACUCUGCUCGGGGGCCCGAUUUCUGCAAAGCGUCCACUUGGAAAGAAGUUUCACUUGCAGGGAAGGCGGGUGUACACAAUGAUGGUCCGUGUGUCCGGGAUGUGAAUGCCAACGAAGACUGCGUCCGUUGGUGGAGUGUGCGCGGGUCCUCCGUGAGGGUGCUUCUGGCAGUCACAGUUCACGAGUUAGCGAGAAGAUGGCUGGGAGGCGGCGAGCCCCCGCUCCCGGGGCGCGCAUUUCGAACUCCAUAGGUCUGCCGUGGAGAGCAGCCCAGACCCGGCCACACUCAGUGUGGAGGAAGUGCGCCUCCUGCUGGCUGCACUGGAGCAGGACUAUGUGCAGAUGAAGGCCAGUGAGCUGGAGCAGGAGCAGGAGACAGAGAGCUCCAGAGUCCUGGGGCUGUCUAAGGAACUACGGUGAGAUAGAGAGUGUUAUGGGUUGAAUUUUGUCCCCCUCAAAAAGGUACCAUUGUCUUCUAAAAGAACAACUGAGGAGUUCAGCAUGAAAGAGGAAGGAUAUGUCAUUCUUUGCAGUGACACAAUCAGAAAAGGUACUGCUCCCCCACCUAAAUAUGAGGGAUAAGUGAUUUUCAGAAGAGACAGGAGAAGAAGGGACAAAUGUCCUGGUCCUUGUCUCCUUGUCAACAAAAGAUGUACUGGUACCCUUUGAAAGGGGACAGAGAGGAUGCCAGCUGAACUGGGAGGACUAAGUUCUCUGCUUUGUGAAAAUGAAUCUGCAAUGAACUCCUGGUCUUUGUCUGGAUGCCCAUCUUUCUGCAAGUUGUCAGCAGAAGCUUUGCAAUGUGGCUACUUGGUGAGUUCACAUACAGCCCAACCCACAGUUCUGAUGGAGCCUGAAAAUCAGCCCUGAAAAGUUCUCCUCAGAGGAUGCCUCUGAAGUGAGAGGCAUGAAAAAAGAGGCUAACCUUCAGGUAGGUCCAGCCAAUAUUUUAACAAAUAUUCAAUAAAUAAUUUGGUUGGAAGGUAAAUCAAUUGAAUAUGCAUUGAGAAACGUAUUAUAUCAAGUAGUACAUACAAUAAAUACAUAAAAUGCAUUUGUUUAGAGGGGUUAUAAAAUUAUAAUUAUAUGGCUAUACAUGUUUGGAAAUAUUCUGUAUUAGUAGAAAUAGAAUGAACCAAGUAAGUACUUUUAUUAAAAUAUAUGAGGAGCAGGUGAAAGAAAGAAGUGUAGGACUAUUUAUAUCUUUGUUACCAAAAAGCAAAGAGAAAAGUAUGGCUAGUUAACUGGAGUUAAUGAAGAGACCCCACCAGCUUUUCUAACUAGGCUCUCUUCUUGUGUUAAUGACAUUGUGUCCACCAAUGCUGUGUGCAAAUGAGGCAAUCAGGUAGAGCCAUCCUUGAUCUUCAGAUCAUCUUGGGUGGGUUUGGAGUGCAUUAUGAGUAGAGAACAAAGACUGAGAUCAUAUGGCUAAGGCCUUGUAUUGCAAAUAAAGAAGAUAUG